rnacentral:rRNA from 1 species
GCGGCGGCUUACCAUGCAAGUCGAGGGGUAUAGUUCUUCGGAACUAGAGACCGGCGCACGGGUGCGUAACGCGUAUGCAAUCUACCUUUUACAGAGGGAUAGCCCAGAGAAAUUUGGAUUAAUACCUCAUAGUAUAAUGACUCGGCAUCGAGAUAUUAUUAAAGUCACAACGGUAAAAGAUGAGCAUGCGUCCCAUUAGCUAGUUGGUAAGGUAACGGCUUACCAAGGCUACGAUGGGUAGGGGUCCUGAGAGGGAGAUCCCCCACACUGGUACUGAGACACGGACCAGACUCCUACGGGAGGCAGCAGUGAGGAAUAUUGGACAAUGGGCGCAAGCCUGAUCCAGCCAUGCCGCGUGCAGGAUGACGGUCCUAUGGAUUGUAAACUGCUUUUAUACGAGAAGAAACAACAUUACGUGUAAUGUCUUGACGGUAUCGUAAGAAUAAGGAUCGGCUAACUCCGUGCCAGCAGCCGCGGUAAUACGGAGGAUCCAAGCGUUAUCCGGAAUCAUUGGGUUUAAAGGGUCCGUAGGCGGUUUAAUAAGUCAGUGGUGAAAGCCCAUCGCUCAACGGUGGAACGGCCAUUGAUACUGUUAGACUUGAAUUAUUAGGAAGUAACUAGAAUAUGUAGUGUAGCGGUGAAAUGCUUAGAGAUUACAUGGAAUACCAAUUGCGAAGGCAGGUUACUACUAAUGGAUUGACGCUGAUGGACGAAAGCGUGGGUAGCGAACAGGAUUAGAUACCCUGGUAGUCCACGCCGUAAACGAUGGAUACUAGCUGUUGGGAGCAAUUUCAGUGGCUAAGCGAAAGUGAUAAGUAUCCCACCUGGGGAGUACGUUCGCAAGAAUGAAACUCAG